AUUGAACGCUGGCGGCAGGCCUAACACAUGCAAGUCGAGCGGGGUUUUCGGACCUAGCGGCGGACGGGUGAGUAAUGCGUAGGAAGCUGCCCGAUAGAGGGGGAUACCAGUUGGAAACGACUGUUAAUACCGCAUAAUGUCUACGGACCAAAGUGUGGGACCUUCGGGCCACAUGCUAUCGGAUGCGCCUACGUGGGAUUAGCUAGUUGGUGAGGUAAUGGCUCACCAAGGCGACGAUCUCUAGCUGGUUUGAGAGGAUGAUCAGCCAAACUGGAACUGAGACACGGUCCAGACUCCUACGGGAGGCAGCAGUGGGGAAUAUUGGACAAUGGGCGCAAGCCUGAUCCAGCCAUGCCGCGUGUGUGAAGAAGGCCUUUUGGUUGUAAAGCACUUUAAGCGGGGAGGAGGCUCUCCUAGUUAAUACCUAGGAUGAGUGGACGUUACUCGCAGAAUAAGCACCGGCUAACUCUGUGCCAGCCGCCGCGGUAAUAC
rnacentral:rRNA from 1 species